GCGGGUGUAGCUCAACCGGAAGAGCCCUGGAUUCCAACUCCGGUAGAUGCGGGUUCGACUCCUGCUGCCCGUG
rnacentral:tRNA from 1 species